GUGCUCGCUUCAGCAGCAUAUAUACUAAAAUUGGAACAAUACAGAGAAGAUUAGCAUGGCUCCUGCGCAACGAUGACAUGCAAAUUCCUGAAGCAUUCCAUAUUUUA
ensembl:snRNA U6 U6 spliceosomal RNA